rnacentral:rRNA from 1 species
GAUGAACGCUAGCUACAGGCUUAACACAUGCAAGUCGCGGGGCAGCAUGGGGGUUGCUUGCCAUCCCCGAUGGCGACCGGCGCACGGGUGAGUAACGCGUAUCCAACCUGCCCUUCACCACGGGAUAACCCGGCGAAAGUCGGACUAAUACCGUAUGUUGUCCAUUGACGGCAUCCGAUUUGGACGAAAGGCUUGGCGGUGAGGGAUGGGGAUGCGUCCGAUUAGCCAGACGGCGGGGUAACGGCCCACCGUGGCUACGAUCGGUAGGGGUUCUGAGAGGAAGGUCCCCCACACUGGAACUGAGACACGGUCCAGACUCCUACGGGAGGCAGCAGUGAGGAAUAUUGGUCAAUGGGCGUAAGCCUGAACCAGCCAAGUAGCGUGCAGGAUGACGGCCCUAUGGGUGGUAAACUGCUUUUAUGCGGGGAUAAAGUGGCCCACGUGUGGGCUUUUGCAGGUACCGCAUGAAUAAGGACCGGCUAAUUCCGUG